UACGGGGGGGGCAAGCGUUGUUCGGAUUCAUUGGGCGUAAAGGGUGCGUAGGUGGCGCCGUAAGUCAGGUGUGAAAUUUCGGAGCUUAACUCCGAAACUGCAUUUGAUACUGCGGUGCUUGAGGACUGGAGAGGAGACUGGAAUUUACGGUGUAGCAGUGAAAUGCGUAGAGAUCGUAAGGAAGACCAGUGGCGAAGGCGGGUCUCUGGGCAGUAACUGACGCUGAGGAGCGAAAGCGUGGGGAGCGAACAGG
rnacentral:rRNA from 1 species